rnacentral:rRNA from 1 species
UACAGAGGUCUCAAGCGUUGUUCGGAUUCAUUGGGCGUAAAGGGUGCGUAGGCGGCGCGGUAAAUCGGGUGUGAAAUCUCGGGGCUUAACUCCGAAACUGCAUUCGAUACUGCCGUGCUUGAGGACUGGAGAGGAGACUGGAAUUUACGGUGUAGCGGUGAAAUGCGUAGAUAUCGUAAGGAAGACCAGUGGCGAAGGCGGGUCUCUGGACAGUUCCUGACGCUGAGGCACGAAGGUCAGGGGAGCAAACGGG